rnacentral:miRNA from 1 species
UUGAAAGGCUAUUUCUUGGCC